UGUUGGUCAUCGUGUCGAAAAAACACUUUCAUAAAAGAAUUAUACUGUAUUUUCUUCGGCGUAAAUUUGUGAGCCGUGAAUUUACGACAAAAUAAUAACGCAUGCCCGAAGUUGAAUGGGUUUUUAAGCAUGUUGCGACCAAUCGAUUUACUUAUUACUUUUAAAUGAAAUCAUUACGACGCGCGAGCCAAUACGUUCAUGGGUGUAUAAGGUAAAGCGUGUGUGAUGGCAUGAAAUCGUGUGUUGGUCCAAACAUAAGAGAAAACAAAAUUGAAUCGCAACGAAUAUUUCGAAAGAUGUUAAUCUCAUUAACAACGCUUAAAUAAUAUCGAGUUUGAUGGCAGGCAAAAUCACAUAAACCAGGAAAAACACGACUAAUGCUUCGCCCGAUUAAAUCCGAUUUUCCUGUGUUGUUUUUAUUGCAUCGUGAACAGCUCACACUUUGAACAACAACAACAACUCAGCAGCAACGACAACAUCAAAAAACCGCACAUUUCCGAUGUACCAGCCAGGACAAAAUCUCUUAAUACGCCCAUUAGAUUUUCGGAUUUUCCGUUUGCAUUGUGUAAUUGAGCAGGGCGAAGGCAACUGAAGCGCGUACGAUGUGCGCUACUGUUUGGCUGCCUCUGUUGUUCCUGCUGCUCUCUGUAUAGUCAGAAUUGCACACGUGCAUGUAAUUUUUUUUUUCAAUGCUUGAAGGAAAAUUGCAUCUCAAAGUCUGCGCACACCAUUUUAACGAUUGCUUCAGUUUUUAGGUUAAACAUAUUCAGAUAUAUUCAUAUUCCGUAUUAUUAUGGUUGUUGUUUUUAUUGAUUGUAUUUGUAUUCGAGGAUCAGCAGAAUGGACUCUUUUUUGUUGCUGCCGUAAUUGUUGUUGUUGUUAGGGGGGAAGCGAAAAAAAUUGCGUACACCAAAUGAAUCGCUACUAACGAUGUGGAAAAAUUGAACUAAUUUUAACAAGCGCACACCGAGGCUUGAUUGAUUCGAAACAUAAGCCCAUAACGAGUAGUGGGUGGCCGGUGCACUGAUUUUUACGCACAUACAAAAACUAGAGAGUAAGAUCACUAAAUCAAGGUCGGGACUAUCUAUGUUUAUACGUUGGUUACAUGAGUCAAAAAUAAUCACAAUAAUCACAUUAUAUCAAAGACGAGAAAAUAAAAAAAAGUUGAUAAGAGUCACGUACCGUUGCAAACUAUAUAAUAAUUGUAAACAAAUUAAUCCAACAAAACGAUAGCGAUGAGGAAUUUGGCA